CUGGCUCAGGAUGAACGCUAGCGGCAGGCUUAACACAUGCAAGUCGAGGGGCAGCGGAGAGUAGCAAUACUCUGCCGGCGACCGGCGAAAGGGUGCGUAACGCGUGAGCAACUUGCCCGUAUCCGGGACAUAAGCGGUGGAAACGCCGUCUAAUUUCCCAUAACAACGAGGGCCGCAUGACCCAUGUUUGAAAGAUCCGUCGGAUACGGAUGGGCUCGCGAGACAUUAGCUAGUCGGCGUGGUAACGGCACACCGAGGCGACGAUGUCUAGGGGUUCUGAGAGGAAGGUCCCCCACCACUGGAACUGAGACACGGUCCAGACUCCUACGGGAGGCAGCAGUGAGGAAUAUUGGUCAAUGGGCGCAAGCCUGAACCAGCCAUGCCGCGUGAAGGAAUGAGGCCCCCUAUGGGUCGUAAACUUCUUUUGUGGUGGAGCAAUAAGGUGCACGUGUGCAUCGAUGAGAGUACAUCACGAAUAAGCAUCGGCUAACUCCGUGCCAGCCGCGGC
rnacentral:rRNA from 1 species